AUGAUGGGAAGUAAAAAAGCAAACAGGAGGUUUUCCCUGGACAGCUCAGGAUAUCAUCUGGAGAUCAGUGGAAGCACAGCAAAGCACAAGAACAGCAUGCUGAGAAGAUCUUCAGACAGCAGAGCCUUCCAGAAUCCAGACGAGACGCAUCUAGAGCUUCUGGAGCACAGCGGCAGCGUCUCACGCAGAUCCAUGACUAUAGAGGAGGAGGAGGGUUCGGCUCGGCCCGAUGGAUCCGGCGUUCGUAAUAGCUUCAAGAGCCACAACAAAACCUUCCACAAACUCUUCCCUGAGAUCCCAGAGACGGAGGAUCUGGAACACGGUGAGUUUCCACUGGAAGAUAAUCCACAGUGAGCUCUCGUCACGUCUCAGGUAUUUCUCACAGUCUGUAAUGAGAGUAAAUGAAGUCUUGUGUUUCUCAGAUGUUUCUAGCGUAUCUGAAGAGUGUCAGUGAUGUCUCACACUGUGCUCAGCUCAGAACGAGGUUUUCAACAAACGUUAUUCCAGGAACAUUAAGAAAACAUUCAUUCUGAGUUACCAUAAUGUUCUCAAAGUGUCAGCACAAAAUCAUUCACGGAACAUUUUUGUUCUGAAGUGUCUUAGUUCAAAAGUAACGUUCUGGUAAUGUUUGAAAAUGAUGAAAUUAAAUAUUCCCUUAACAUCAAGAAAACAACAUUUUUUAAAACAUAAAAGAACAUUCUGAAAUAAUGCUUCCAUAACUUUAGAAAAACGUUCUUAGAACAUAUUUCUGUGAGCAGUCAGCGAUCUCAGACGUGUCUCUUCAUAUCUCUAUACUCUCUCUGAACGACCGCAGGUCUGUUUUUACUUCCCUGAUGAGGUCUAUUCAACGUGAAACUAUCAGAAGAGAACAGAUCCUGACCUGAUCUGUUGAGCUGGAAUCGAGUUUGUUUUAUAAUGGGUGAAUUUACAAUAUUAACACUGCUGUUUUCAUGUUUAUUGUGAAGCUUUGAAACGGCACUGAAAGACAUGAUAUGAUCAAGAAGUCAUGGUAGCAUGUUUUUACACUAACUCAAAAUAAUCUGACCAAUGUCAACUCAGUUUUAAAGGUAUUUAAAGUUUUAUACAGCCAGUUUGAUGACUCUUAAAAACUGACGGCAGCAGCUGAACUUGCACUGAAGUAGGUGGAGAUUGUAUAAAGCGCUACAGAAAUGAACAGGACUUGAGUUGAAACUGAAUGCUCAGUAAAGCAGGACAGUGUUUGAGGCAUCUGAUGUUUCAGUGCACAGCUGCG
ensembl:lncRNA